rnacentral:rRNA from 1 species
UACGGGGGGGGCAAGCGUUGUUCGGAAUUACUGGGCGUAAAGGGCUCGUAGGUGGCCAACUAAGUCAGACGUGAAAUCCCUCGGCUUAACCGGGGAACUGCAUCUGAUACUGGAUGGCUUGAGUUCGGGAGAGGGAUGCGGAAUUCCAGGUGUAGCGGUGAAAUGCGUAGAUAUCUGGAGGAACACCGGUGGCGAAGGCGGCAUCCUGGACCAACACUGACGCUGAGGAGCGAAAGCCAGGGGAGCAAACGGG